rnacentral:rRNA from 1 species
CCUACGGAGGCAGCAGUAAGGAAUAUUGGACAAUGGGCGCAAGCCUGAUCCAGCCAUGCCGCGUGCAGGAUGAAGGUGCUCUGCAUUGUAAACUGCUUUUGUUUGGGAAUAAACCCUUCUACGUGUAGAGGGCUGAAUGUACCAAAAGAAUAAGGGACGGCUAACUUCGUGCCAGCAGCCGCGGUAAUACGAAGGUCCCAAGCGUUAUCCGGAUUUAUUGGGUUUAAAGGGUGCGUAGGCGGGUUAUUAAGUCAGUGGUGAAAGCCUACAGCUUAACUGUAGAAUUGCCAUUGAUACUGAUGAUCUUGAGUAUGAUUGAGGUGGGCGGAAUGUGUCAUGUAGCGGUGAAAUGCUUAGAUAUGACACAGAACACCGAUUGCGAAGGCAGCUCACUAAGUCAUAACUGACGCUGAUGCACGAAGACGGUGGGGAGGACGAAACGAAGGAGUUAGUAUACCCGUACGGUACGUACCGACCGACCCGUAAACCGAACGUAGAUCUACUACGUAUGUGUGCGAGUACACU